rnacentral:miRNA from 1 species
UGAGAAGAAGAAGAAGAAUU